ensembl:antisense Pax6os1 paired box 6 opposite strand 1
AGAGGAGAAGGUCCACUUCCUACUGCGAAGCGGGCAAACUGCUCACGGCUCAACUCUGGAAUAAGGAACUCUCGGAGGAGAGGACCCCCGUUCAGGUGGCAUUCUGAUGUACUGGGUCCCUGCAGAAAAGAAAAAGCCACCAUGGCUUGUGCUUCCCCCCUGAUGCUGAGAUCUGUGGCUGAAAGGAGAUGGAGGUUCUGCUGUUCCUGGAACCCAAGGCGACAGCAAGUUCUAGAUCAUGGCAGAGAUGCCCAGAUGUUCUGGGGAGUCUGGAACCAUCAAAAACCUGCAGCAAGAUGCCUUAGACAAGCCUGGGGACUGGAGCAAGCUGGUACAAGCUUCUAGGAACUAUACCAUAGUCAUCUCCCACAACCUGGAGACCAAGAAGACCUGAAUGAAGCUGCCUUCAGGGUCCAAGAAGGUGAAUUCCUCAGCCAACAGAGCUGUUGUUAAGGGCAAAAUUGGCUAGAGAUGGACAGCUGGCUAACACAGAGCCACAAGGCAAGUUUGUGAUCACCUUGGGUCCUGGAACUCCACCCUGUGCCCCCUCUAUACUAAGGUACCAUGAUUCUUAACCUCUGAAGAUUUAAUGAUGUAAAGGGCAGGGCUGAGUCUGCAAACAGAGACUCCAUUUGGACAUAGGAACAACUUACAGGUGCCAAAAGGCUUCUUAGUGACUGAUGGAGGUAACGUUGUCAAAGUUAGAUCACAGAUCACAGCCAGAAGGAGGUUCUCUCCACUCUAGACAUCAGCACUGAAUUCUUACCCACUUGAGUUUAUGGGCUGGGAAGUCCUUUACUGCUUUAUUAUAACCCACCUGGCUCCUAGCUCAGUUUUCACUUAUCAAUAAGCUUCAGUUUCCCAAUCUAUCAACUAUUUAACAAAAGAGUCCACAAAGUCAGUGAGUUCCUUGUGCUAGAUACCCGGGGAAGAUGGAGAUACCCGGGGAAGAUGGAGAUACCCUGGGAAGAUGGAGAUACCCUGGGAAGAUGGAGAUACCCUGGGAAGAUGGAGAUACUCUGGGAAGAAGGAGUUACCCUGGAAAGAUGGAGAUGCCCUGGGAAGAUGGAGAAAGAUGCAGCUGAUCCUCAUGAGACUAUUGGAAGUACCUUCAGACACUAGCUAUCAAUUAUUUCAUAGGUAAUUUCAUAGGUAAUUCAUUGCAGGUUGAAAAACUUUCAUUGAGCUCUUACUGUAUGCCAGGGCUGCAAGAGAGGAUAGAGAAAUGAAUAAGAUAUACUGGCCCAAGUGGACAUUGGCUGUUGACUAAUGUCUCAUAUCUCAUCAUGACCUUCCAUUCCAGUACAAGAACUUUCUGGCCUCAGCUUAGAGUGAACACGUUUAAUUUGUAAAUAUGUUUCUGAUGAUUUUUUGCGAUAAUUCUCCUACAAAAAAUAAAACCAAGAG